rnacentral:lncRNA from 1 species
CAAGCCAUCGACUAAACACCCAAUCAACCAAGAUUAUAUCCUCAGUUGGCUGUAUUGGCCUUCUACCAGAAGCAACCUCAAGCAAGAAGGCCCCAAAAGCGAACACAUCAGUGCUUGUCGUGGCCUUUCCAGUUCGUGCAUGCUCAGGUGCGAGAUACCCAAGAGUUCCGACAACGUGGGUCGUUUGAGGAUCUGUUCCAUGGUCAUACAAUCUUGCAAGGCCAAAAUCCCCUAAUCUUCCAUUCAAUUCACGAUCUAGCAAGACAUUACUAGCCUUGACAUCUCUAUGAAUCACAACUUGCUCCCAUUCUUCAUGUAGAUAAAAUAGCCCUGAAGCUACGCCAUUGAUGACUCUAAAUCUUUGGCUCCAAUUGAGGGCGACUGUUGGUUGGUCAUAGAGGUAUUUGUCUAAACUUCCAUUAGGCAUGUAGUCAUAUACCAAAAGUAGCUCUCCUCUACGCCGGCAGUACCCCAAGAGAGGGACUAAAUUCCGGUGACGAAGGCGACCAAUGCUGACAAUUUCCGCCACAAAUUCCCUCAUCCCCUGUCUUGAUUCAUGAGACACCCUUUUCACUGCAAUCUGAAUCUUAGAGGUUGGCAAGACACCUUUGUAGACUCUACCAAACCCACCACUACCCAACAGCUCCUCGUCUCUAAAUCCUUUGGUGGCAGUAUAAAGAUCUUUGUAUUUAAAUCGGUGAGGCCCAUAGUCAAGCUCCCAAUCUUCUAGCACUUCUGCAAACUUCCUUGUCCUUCGUAUGGCAUAAGAUGUACUCGAGACUGCUACUAAAACCAAACUUAAACAAAGCACAGGAAGUUCAAUGGUUAAGAAUUUGGAUGUCUUCUUUGGUCCUACUCGAGGAAGCUUAGGAAGGCGAGAGAUAUGUAGUGCUUCAGCUAGGCCAUUCAUCUUGAAGCUCCAGCCCAACACAUAAUGGGACGUGAAAACAGAACCGGUGGAUGAUGAGAAUCCGAUAUACAUACUACUGUUUAAGAUUGGCGACAAAUCACAAGACAGAGUCAAAAGUGGUCUACUGGGUUUAUCAACAUCAAUCGGAGCUAUAGUGACAUCAAGUUGCUUCUCCUUGCCAUCAUAUUCCAUCCAAACUUGCAUUGGAUGGCCACUAAUUAGUGUCAAGUUUGUGAGCUUACCAUUAAGUUGAGAAUAAUAUCCUGCUGAAGCAGAUCGUUCAGACUCUAAACCAUUAAUAUCAAUCCCAACAUGGUUAUCAUCGAUAUCAUUGAACUCGCUGCUGUAUAUCGUGUCAAGCUCCACAGCAACAACAUGGUUGGUCUGAUUCCCAUUGUUGGUCUUAUUAAAUAGACCAAGGUACUGGCUUGGAAGAGCUCCUGGGAGACCUCUUGUGGGUGCAAUGACAAAGGCAAUACCAUGGCCACCAAGAGUUGGAUAUUCAGGUAUGAUAGCGAAAACAAAGGUAGUGGAGAAGGUGAAAGCAGUGCUAUUUAUAGAGUUCUUGAAGGUUACUGGGUUUGGAUAGAAGGCGUGACUCGUUCGUUGCUUGGUUUCAUUGGUUAGCCUCAAAAGGCCAUUGGAGGUUAACUCAGCUAAGCCGUCAAGGCUUAGAUUAGUGGAUCGGAAGCCAGAGUAGGUGAAGUUGAAGUUGAGUUCUUGAGAGGCUGCUAUUGCUAAGCUAAAUAAGACACGCACCAUUAAGACAAUUCUGAAUAACAUUGCAACUGUAUUUGUCUCUACCCACCAGUUUCUUGUUUAUGUUGUUAGUUAUAAUGGAGUAUCCACGCCAUCAAAGAGUUAAUGAUAGAGCCAAUUAGCCAAACAAUGAGGAGAAUCUUUCCAUUCAAUGGUUGAGAUAAUCUAACUUGUCAAACUUUCAGGUUGAUGUGAAAGCACAACCAUAAUUUUAAGGCAAUAUGAAAGAUUAGUCAAUUUCGGCAACUCUUCUGUGAAAUUUCGCGGUUAGGCAUAGUUUUGAGUUACAGUUGAAUAUUUUUUUCAUACUCAACGUUAACUACUCAGGCUUCCUAUACUCUUUCCUGGCUUGACCAUAAGUGCUCAAGACUUUUUCUAGAUGCCUCUGACCAAGUUCGGGCUUAAACUUUAGGUGGUUCGACACAAUACAUUUUUUGAUCUAUCUAGGACUUGAUACUAGCCCAUUUCCUUACGUAUCGAAUCCAAUCUUGCUACCAAAUCAUAAGUUGAUGGGUACUAAAUCCACCUAUGAAAACUUUUAAAACCAAAUCAAAAUGUAUUGUUUUUUUUUUGUUUUUUUUAAAACAAAAACGAAUAGGCUUUUACAUUUUGUUUUCAAAAGUUAAAAAAUAAAAGAAAAAACAUUAAUUCUUUAUUUUAUCUUAAAUUAGCCUCUUAAAACUAAAAUGGCUAAAAUAAGGUGCAGUAAAAGGCUAAUAUCAAGCACAUAAAUUAUAAAUGAAUGAAAGGAUAAGAGUCAAUCUACCCAAAUUAAAAGGAUUGAAAAUUAUAAGUGAGGAAGGAUUGAAGGAACCUUCCAAUCCUUUUUUAUACAUGUCUUCAUCCUUUUUGCCAAAUGAUACUAAAUGCUUCCUCACUAGUCCCUCCCCUCUGAUCCAUCCUUAAACCCUCCUAACAAGCAAAGUAUAAAACCUAAUUAUAAUUAUAAGUCUUUGCAAAAAAAAAAAAAAAAAAAACGAGUAUGUUCAAUCAUUUUUAUAUUUGUUGUGGCAAGAAAUCAAGGUUGAAUUUCGAGGCGUGCUGAUUAGGGAGACAAAAAGGAUAAUGCUUAAUAGUUGAGGGCAAAAUAGAUCAAUUUUAAACUUUGAAGACUAACUUAAACUAACCCUAUAUAGUUGGGAGAUUUACUUGUAGUUAUCUCUUGUCAUAUUUUUGCUUACAAAUGUUUUGGACGGACUUGACGCCAAAUGGGAGAAUAUAGUGCCUUUGUUUGUUCUGCUCAAAUUUUAUGUCGGGAAAACCGAGUGUUCAAUUGCAUCUAGAAAGUGAAAUAGUGAAACCUUGUUAUGUGAUCUAUAAAUUGGUAUGCUGCUUUCAUUUCAUCGGCACUCUCAAAUACAAGGAAACCAGCUGUCCCCUCCUGUUCAGAGCUUUGCUAUGACCGAAGAAAAUCAACAGAUCAAGUCCCCUCAAGAACCGCCUGCUGAUCAAGCAGUACCACCCUUGCCAAGUAAGUAUAAAGAAAAUAAUUUUUUGAUGUUUUGUUGUUUGUAAGAAGUACCAUCACGUGAUUCUGGCGAUCACGAUCGAAGGCAGAGAUCCAAAAAUGUUAUUCCAUCGAGGACUUGAAGGUUCUUAAUUUUUAUGAUCCGACCAUUCGGAUCCUGAUUUUAACAAUUAUAGUUUCCCUCGAAAAACAAGGGGAAAGGAUGAUAUACCUAAGAUUCUAUCAGUAAUUCAAAACCAUUAUAUUCGGAGAAUCUUAAACAUUAGUUUCCUAGUAGUAAUAUUUUUAGUUUGCUAACAAUUAUGGCAUAUUUUAAUUUUCUUUUCUUUUCUUUUUUUCUCACACACGAUUAUGGCAUCUAUGUUUUCCACUUAUGAAUGCUUUACUUUGGACAAGUUUUAGGAAUGUACGGGUUGGGAUCAAAUCCUGCUGCAAAAACAACAUGGCCUGAGUUAGUUGGCUUAACAGCGGAAGAAGCUGAAAGAAGGAUAAAGGAGGAGAAGCCAGGUGCUCAAAUUCAAGUUGUUCAACCUGAUUGCUUUGUGACCAUGGAUUUUCGACAGAAUAGAGUACGAUUACACGUUGACUCAUUAGGCAAAAUCGAGAGAGCUCCUAGAAUUGGUUAAUCUUGCUUUUGUGUUUGAGAAUGUACCGAGUCUAUAAGUCGAUCUUGGAUUGGCUAUGUGGUUUACCUUAUGUUUGUAAUAGGUACGUAAAUUUGCCUGUGAAUGUUGCGUGAUAUCAUUUUCUUCUCUUUUCAUGUCAUUCACUAUGGGUUGUCUUGGAUAAGGCAAAGCACACAAGUCAUAAAAUUUAUAUAUGGGGUCCAAAAUUGUCGGCAUAAUUGUUCAAUAUAUGAUUAUAAGAAGGAAGUCUUGUUUCUUAAAUCUCUGGGUCUCUUAAACUGAACUUGCUUGGAUCAACUGAAAGAAAAUGAUAAAGAAAUAGAGGAAUCUUGCAAACUUUUGUCAGUGAGUGGAAUGGGAUAUUGUUAUCAAGGAGGGAUUUUUCAUCCCUGAAGGAGGAAUUCCAAGAGAACCUGAAAUUCAAUUGAAUGGUGCCCACCAAGCCCAGUUCCACAUUAAAAGCAAAUGGAAGGAAGCAACACAAGAAAGAUAGAAGAACAAGCGACACAAAAUUAUGUUGAAUAGGGUCACAAUAUAAACUUUAAUUUGAAAUUUUAUUACUAAAUAUUUCACCACACAAAUAUUUUGAUCAAAACUCUCUAUUAUAGCUCUUUUAAGUUGCUUUAUACUAGUAAAAAAUCUUAAACAAAGUUGAAAUAGUAAUAAAAUACUUCUAAAUCAAAUAAAAAAAAAUCCUAAAUAAACUAGUAAAAUAUAGCAAAUUUCAAAUAGAAACUUCUAAGCAUUACCAUAAAGUUUUCUCGAUACUGAUUGUUAGAAAAUUUAACCCUAAAAAAAUCAUAGUCUCUAGAAGCUUCUAGCAAAAUUUUUAAUUGAUCCAACAAUUGGAUUAAAAUUUAUACAUAUUAACAUAAAAUUAUGCAUUAAAAAAAAAUCACCUACAUAAAUGUUUCUAUGUUGAAGAGAACUCGUCGAGUUGUAGCCAUCCAUCCAUCUAUGUUGUUGUUAUUAUGGACAUCGAAAGGGAUAUCCUUGCACUCCACUAACCUCUAGUGUGUUGACUAUACAAUUAGCCAACUUAAAUAAAGUUGGUCAAAAAUCAAUGCCUCAAAACACUCUGAUUCUUUGUAAAACCAUUACUUGAAUUCGUUCUUUGACAGACAGACUUGCUACUUGGCAGAUUAAUUCAGAUAACUUGUUGUACUACUUCCAACUAUAACUAUGCUUAGUAAAAUGCUUCAUGCUUGGUCUUUUAAACAUUACCUCUUGCUUCAUGCUUAGUAAAAUGCUUCAUGAUUUGUUACCAUGUUUGCUUUCUUAUGUGAUACAUCAACAUAAACAAAAGGGAGAGAUACUGUGUUAUGCAUUAGAUUUAAUUUGCAUCAUUGUUUUGCAGGUGAUCUUUCAUGUACAUCUCCUAAAGGCAGUUUACUAAACUUUUUUUUUAAAAAAAACCCACUCAUAAGGUAAUGUAUUGCAUACAGGAACUCCUCUGAUUCACCAAAAAUAUCUUACAUGAGUUCUUGAUAAGGUCCUUCAAGAAAAGUAAUAAUUAACGGCCACCUGAAAGGAGGGACUCUGCAACCGAGGACGAAUGUGCAAAUGCCUUGUCCAUAGAAGAAGGAUAAGAAAUGGCAAACUCAUCAAAACCUUCACGAUGUGAAAAUGUUAGGCCACUUGCAGAAAGACAAAGUGGUGAAAUGUCAGGCAGAGGAACAUCCCCCUCUAAGAACUGCACUACUUGCCGCAUGCGUGGCCUUGCUGCAGGCUCAGAAUGAGAGCACAUCAAACCAAGUUUCAAUACCAAUUCCAUUUCCUCUGCAAUAUAUUCUGCACCCAAAUUGGGAUCCCUUGCCUCCAGAAUUUCACCUCCAAGCCAUCGACUAAACACCCAAUCAACCAAGAUUAUAUCCUCAGUUGGUUAUAUUGGCCUUCUACCAGAAGCAACCUCAAGCAAGAAGGCCCCAAAAGCGAACACAUCAGUGCUUGUCGUGGCCUUUCCAGUUCGUGCAUGUUCAGGUGCGAGAUACCCAAGAGUUCCGACAACGUGGGUCGUUUGAGGAUCUGUUCCAUGGUCAUACAAUCUUGCAAGGCCAAAAUCCCCUAAUCUUCCAUUCAAUUCACCAUCUAGCAAGACAUUACUAGCCUUGACAUU